rnacentral:rRNA from 1 species
CCUACGGGAGGCAGCAGUUAGGAAUUUUGGGCAAUGGGCGCAAGCCUGACCCAGCAACGCCGCGUGGGUGACGAAGGCCUUCGGGUUGUAAAGCCCUUUUCUGAGGGAAGCGGUACCUCAGGAAUAAGCACCGGCUAACUACGUGCCAGCAGCCGCGGUAAUACGUAGGGUGCAAGCGUUGCCAGGAUUUAUUGGGCGUAAAGGGCGCGUAGGCGGCUCGGCACGUCCGUUGUGAAAUCGCCCGGCUCAACUGGGCGGGGUCGGCGGAUACGGCCGAGCUGGAGCAAGCUAGGGGGUAAUGGAAUUCCCGGUGUAGUGGUGGAAUGCGUAGAUAUCGGGAGGAACACCAGUGGCGAAGGCGGUUACCUGGAGCUUCUGACGCUGAUGCGCGAAAGCGUGGGGAGCGAUCCGGAUUAGAUACCCUUGUAGUC